ACAGAUAGAAAAUCCUAGGUAGGAAUAAUGAAAUCAAUUUCCUCAGAACCCUAAUAAUUACUUCCAUGCCCCAACCGCUACUCUCCCUUCUCCCGUAUUCUUCUAUCGAUUUUCGAAAUUUUCUUUCCAACAAGCUUAGUCCCUUGAUUCUUUCUGUUUUCUGAUAACAUAUCUUCCUCUUUAAUCUUUAUCCAAAUCUCUCUUGCUUAUUCUGGAGAUAUUCACCGAUGAAUUUUCGGCAUAUGAAGCAGCUCAUUCUGAUAAAUUGGGGCUAUAAAUAUUAGCAACGACCCUUUCGUAUCUUGCAUCUUCUUCAAUAUUUCUCACAAUUCAAAGAUUCGACUGUUGUAGAGAGGACUAAGGAGGUAUGAAUGAAGAAACCUUAUUCUCUGUUGUGCCUCCAUUCUUCCUCACAUGUUCAAUUUGUAGGAUUCAUCUGGCUGGUCACUGUUCAGUUUGUUUUUCAUAUGUUCUAACUUAGUAACUUGUAUGUCGUAAGAAACCAGAUGAAUUGAGACUGCUAAUAUUCGUUUUGUUUCUUCAUUCUAGCAGGUUCCUGGUAUCUUACAGUAACCGAGACACUAAGUUGAAGAUAGUAUAGUGGUAGAUUAUUCUCAGUAGGUAACUGUGGAAUUACUUCUCUUCUUGUGUUUCAUCACUUUUAGCUCAUAGUGUUUGAUAUGGUUUGUUUUAUGCAGGGUUGUCUUUGUUCGUAGUUACUAAUUUGACACAGACAGACUGUUUUGCCUUCUCUUCUUUGACCAGAGCAGAGGUAUGUGUCUUUGAUAGGUUUUUUUACUCGUUACUAUAUAUUUAAUUUUAGCUUAGAUGAUUAAUUUUGAAUUCCAUGUUCUGUUUGAGUGGUUUACCCCAAUUUCCAAAUGGUUAAUUUGGUUUGCUUUGUUUUAUUCUUGUGGUUUUUUUGUAGAUUAUCUUUGUUUAUUAUGGGUAACUCUGCUGCUAAGUCAAUCGAGAAGGGGGGAAAGGCAUUGGAGACAGCUAUUUUGAGGUGCGAUGGAAUAUAAAGAAAUUACACUCUAUUCCUUUGUGUUUGUGAUUGCCUUGCUUGUUAUUCAAAGUAGUUAGUGCUUUACUAAUCCAUAAAAUCUGCUUCUCUCUAAUCUUAUUCAUUAAUCUUCUUAUUCAACAUACUUAUCACAAUUGUCUCUCAAAUCUAUUUAUCUAAACUCCCUCUAUAAUUUACUUAUCUAAAUUAGUUUUCUCUAAUCUACUUCUUUAAACGACUUCUAGAGUUGGAAUUAUAAUGGAUAAUCGUGUUCCCUCUGAACCCCUAGCUAGUAAUGGUGGUUUUGUUACACCAACUGUGAGUGCAGCUACAGGAACUAUUCUAGUAACUGGUAAUGAGACUCUUUUAUUGUCGCAAACGCAUACACAAGAGGAUAAAAUUACUGAUGCAACAGCUUCUCAACCUAAUUCUAAGCCUAUUGAAAAAUUAGUAGAUAUGAGUAAGCUUACGAGUGACAUUUGGGCUUACUUCUACAGAGUGAGGAAUGGGGGAAUCGUUAAGGCUAAGUGUAAGCACUGCCAGAAGCUGCUAGGUGGGGAGUCAAAAAAAUGGAACAUCUCAUUUGAAGACUCAUAGAAUAGGUUGCCUUCAAAGGCAGCUUCAUGACAGUAAACAGAAAAUACUAGGCCCUAAUUUCCCUAAUUCCAAGAAGGAACUCGCUGCUACCAUCUUUAGUGUUGAAGUGUCUAGGAAAGAGUUAGGCUUAGCCAUAGUAAUGCAUGAGUAUUACUAUUGUCUUCGAUCCAUGAAAAAAAUCUCCAGUUGGUCAACUCUUCCUGUACCUUUUGUUAUGAGAAGAUAAAGCAAUUGAUUAUCGACUUGGUUCAGUAAAAAAUUAGUCCUAACAAUGUUGAUCCCUCUGAUGAAAUUACUCAAAACCCAUAAACUAAAGAUAUAGACUUUGAAAUCUAUGUAAGUCGAAGAAAAAAGGCACGAGCGAUUGUUUGUCAAUCUGAGUUGGACAAUUAUCUUAAUGAAGAUAUCAUUCAGCGAUCACCUAAAUUACGUCUUCUCAAGUGGUGGGAAGAUAAUGGUGUGAAAUGUCCAACUUUGCAAACAAUUGCUAGAGAUUUGCUAGCUAUACCGGUUACUUUGGUUGCCUCUGAAGCAGCCUUUAGCGUCAUUGGUAGAUUAUUGGAUCCACAUCGAAGUUGAUUUCACUACAUUACGGUGGAGUCUAUGAUGUGUUUGAGGAGUUGUGUUCAUGAUGAGAUCAAGAAAGGUAUUUUUUGAAAAGAUGGUGCAUUAUUUUGUACUAACUCAAUCUGAUUUGUAAUUUGAAUUGCAUUGCUUACAUUUGUGUUUGUUGUUCUUUGAUUUCAGAAUCUCCAAAAGAUGAUGUUGCACUACAAGGCUGUUUUUCGGUGCUAAAUUUUAAGGAAGCAAUGGAGAAUGAAAGUGAGAAUCCUUAUGAAGGUAUGGUGUCAUCUACCUACUUGAUUUAAUUUUCUAUGCAUGGAAGUUAUCUUGUGCUCUCUUUCUGCCUCAUCCAAUAUUUUUCUGAAUACCAUUUCUGUUUGGUUCUCUAACAAAUUUAAUAGAUGAACUACUUGCUUUUUAUGCUAAAUGCAUGUUAUGUUAUUGUUUUCAAUUUAUUGUAUUUGUUCCUUCAAUCUCAGGUCAAGGUGGAAAUGGUCAUCAGUAUUAUUUGGAUGAUUGAGCUGCUGCUUUUUCCUGCUAUUUGUUCAUGUUGUUUCCUACUGAUUGAUGCUUGCUGUUGUUACUGUUGCUGCUUGCUGUUGCUGGUGCUGCUGUUUGCUGGUGCUGUGACUUUAAUAUCAAAGAAAACUUGGUUGUUUCUUUGUAGUUCUUAUCUAUUGCUAAAUUUUGUAAUUUUGUUUGUUAGGUGUUAGCACUUAGUAGUUAGCUGUUAGCUAAUACUACACUUCAAAUUAUGUUGCUGUUGAAUUUUUUACCUUUGUUUAUGACUUAGUGUUCAACAGCAGGUUACCAAAUGGCAAGAGAUGUUUUAAAUUUUGUGACCAAACUAAUAUCUUUAGCCGGAUAAUCGGGUAUCCAUGGGGGGCUAGCUGUCGAAAACAGGGGAUUUUAACCGGGGAAAAAAUAAAGUUUUCAACUCUCCUCUUUCUUUUCUCAUCAAUUCGUCGAAUCCAAACUCUACUGGUGGUGGGUACAGAAAUUUCACCGAAUAUCCGAUGAGGUCGGGUUUUCACCGAUCCGGACAGCAGGGCGGUCGAUGAUAGGGUAUGUACUACACGUACCCGAUCUGACAAAAUGCCAAGCCUAUAUUUAUCUUAAAGAACACUACUUACAACAAUCUCAGUAGGUAGGAUUCAUUGAUCAAAAGCCUUUUGUUCACAGUUGACAUUGCUCGGAGCAGCAUUUUGCAAUACGCAUCCACAAGGAAAUUAAAGACCUUAUGGUUGGGAGCACAAGUAUAGAAAUCUUCUUUGGUCAGCUUAAACUAUGUGUCAUCCAGCUAGAGUUGUAGAGAGAGGUGUUUGACGGUGAUGGAUCGUGAGAGGAUAUUGUUGGCAGUGAGAGCUUCUUUGUCGUUUGGCGCUGGACGGAGGAGAGUCUGUUGAUUGCGAGAGGAAGAGCAUGCAAUUAUCAUCGAUUGAAAGCAGGAGAUGGUGGCGGUUGUUGCAAUCGAUAGUGGAGUUGGCAAUCGGGCAACAAUUGUGGCGGCGUGGUCGGCGCGUUGAGAAGGGAUUCAGUCGACGGUCGACGUCAAGGCAGCGAUGGUGGUGAAGAAAGAAGCCACGACAGUGAGAAUCGGGGUUCCACGGUUCUUGGAAGCCGCCGAAAAAGGUCGCCAGAUUCUAGGUUUGGUCGUCGGCAGCGAACUCUUUGCCGGAGAAGAAGAGGGACCAAACUGCAGUCUUCGAAAGUUAAGUGAACA
rnacentral:lncRNA from 1 species